rnacentral:tRNA from 1 species
GGUGAGAUUCCCGAGCGGCCAAAGGGAGCAGACUGUAAAUCUGACGUCAUUCGACUUCGAAGGUUCGAAUCCUUCUCUCACCA